GACUCUGUAGCUCAGUGGGUUAGAGCGCUGCACCGGAAUCACAGAACCGCAGUUCAAUUCCUGCCAGAGCG